rnacentral:rRNA from 1 species
UACGUAGGGGGCAAGCGUUGUCCGGAAUCAUUGGGCGUAAAGAGCGCGUAGGCGGCCCAGUCAGUCCGCUCUGAAAGUCAGGGGCUUAACCCCUGAAUGCGGGUGGAUACUGCUGGGCUAGAGUCCGGAAGAGGAGAUUGGAAUUCCUGGUGUAGCGGUGAAAUGCGCAGAUAUCAGGAGGAACACCAAUGGCGAAGGCAGCACUCUGGGACGUGACUGACGCUGAGACGCGAAAGCGUGGGGAGCAAACAGG